CCUACGGGUGACAGCAGUGGGGAAUAUUGCACAAUGGGGGAAACCCUGAUGCAGCGACGCCGCGUGCGUGAAGAAGUACUUCGUUAUGUAAAGCUCUAUCAGCAGGGAAGAAAAUGACGGUACCUGAGUAAGAAGCCACGGCCAAAUCCGUGCCAGAAGCCGCUGUAAUACGUAGGGGGCACGCGUUAUCCGGUUUUACUGGGUGUAAAGGGAGCGUAGAUGGCAGUGCAAGUCUGGGGUGAAAGGCGGGGGCUCAAACCCCGGACUGCUCUGGAAACUGUACGGCUGGAGUGCAGGAGAGGUAAGUGGAAUUCCUAGUGUAGCGGUGAAAUGCGUAGAUAUUAGGAGGAACACCAGUGGCGAAGGCGGCUUACUGGACUGUAACUGACGUUGAGGCUCGAAAGCGUGGGGAGCAAACAGGAUUAGAUACCCCGGUAGUC
rnacentral:rRNA from 1 species